UACAUACGGAUUUUCCGUAUGUAUAUGUCAUAUGUAAUUUUGGCGGAGGCUUUCUAUACGGAUUUUCCGUAUGUAUAUUUUUCGUAUGGGUUUAAUACAUUAAGCUCUGCAAAAAAGUAUUAAAAUUCAUUCUCAGCUCUGAACUUUCAUUCCCGCGUGCCCCUUCGUGAACCUUCAUUCCUGCACCUCUUCUUCACUGAUCUUCUUCAUUGUCAGUCCCGCAGUUGUUCUCUUCUCCCUCUCUGAACCAAAGUUUCUUCCGUAGUUGUUUUUUCCAAUCGAACUUUGCCAUCGCGAGUUGUGCGGAUUAGGCUUUCAUUUGUUGAACGCGGUUUGAAAUCGCGACUUUGGAAACCCUAGGUUGGUUUCUUCGAACUGGAAGCUCGAGUUGUAGUCGCCUCCUGCUGGUGGUUUGAAUUGGGAUUUUGGAAAUCCUAGGUUAGUUUCUUCGAAGCGGAAGAGAUAAGCUGGAGCUGGAGCUGCAAUUGCCUUCUGCAUUUG